rnacentral:rRNA from 1 species
UACGGAGGGUGCAAGCGUUAUCCGGAUUCACUGGGUUUAAAGGGUGCGUAGGUGGGAAUGUAAGUCAGUGGUGAAAUCUCCGUGCUUAACAUGGAAACUGCCAUUGAUACUAUGUUUCUUGAAUUUUCCGGAGGUAAGCGGAAUAUGUCAUGUAGCGGUGAAAUGCGCAGAUAUCGGGAGGAACACCAAUGGCGAAGGCAGCUCGCUGGGACGGUACUGACGCUGAGACGCGAAAGCGUGGGGAGCAAACAGG